rnacentral:rRNA from 1 species
UACGAAGGGGGCUAGCGUUACUCGGAUUGACUGGGCGUAAAGGGCGCGUAGGCGGUUUGUACAGUCAGACGUGAAAUUCCUGGGCUCAACCUGGGGGCUGCGUUUGAUACGUGCGGACUUGAGUUCGGAAGAGGGUCGUGGAAUUCCCAGUGUAGAGGUGAAAUUCGUAGAUAUUGGGAAGAACAUCAGUGGCGAAGGCGGUCUGCUGGGCCGUUGC